GAAACCCAAAAGAUCGAAUGGGGAGAUUCAUCAUCAACAUAUUUAGUAUGUAUGCGAGUUAUGAUGUAAAGUAUCCUUGUGAUAAUGUUGUACAUGCUUGUAUUACUUAUUGCUAGAUAUUGUCGGCGUGCACUUCUCCCCUAGUAGGACGUCGCGACCCGUUGAGUGUUGGUCUACGGCCUGGAUGGUAGUCUUUGAUUAUUUAUAAUUGAAGACCUCUAGUAAUCUGAUCAUCUGCUCGGCGGUAUUCGCACGGUAUUGAGCCGCAAUUUUAUUUGCGUCAAGCCCGUUGCAAGCGAGGUCAGUUCUUGGUAGUGCGGAUUUAAUGCCGUCACUGAGACUGAUCAGCUGUUGGUUAACGGUGUUCUUUGACUGACUCAAAAUAAUUACCGGUCAGCGACGCUACUGCUUUGGGUACUUUCAGGACCCGUCUUGAAACACGGACCAAA
rnacentral:rRNA from 1 species